CACAUUCUGGGGGAAGCCAGCUGCCAUGUCCUAAGCACAUUCAGUCUAUGGAGAGACCUGCGUGACGAGGAACUGAGGUCUCCGGCCAACACUCGAAUCUGUCACAUCAUAUCUUCAGCCUGAGAUGAUUAGGGAGAGGCCCCUGACCCAACCUGGACUAACUGGAUCCUCCCUUCUGUUCUCCACCUGUUAACUGGGGAUAAUAGCAGCAGCUCCAUCACAGGGAUGUUGUGAAGACUGAAUGAGGGAAUACAUGCACAUACUCAGCCAUUGCCCAGCGCGUAGUAAAUGCCAUAUGACUGAGCAAAACUCUAUACAGCAUCGUGGAUUAUAUGCAAAGAUGGCUGCCAACAAUUCCUUCCAUCCUUCUAAGUGCCUGCCGCUCCACCCAUCAAGAGCCCCGCCGAGAGGCCUGGCAGCAUCUGCUUCUGCCCCUUUGGAAGCCAGUCACCGCGUAAAGCUUGAGCGCGGCUACUGGAUGCUAAGAGGCCAAGUGUGAGACAGAGGCCACAUUGAAGAGAAGCAAAGUGCACCAGUGACAGCCAGCACUAAGGCCCCCGCUGCCUGGAACAGGCACUUACCUCUGAGGAGCUGGGAUCCAUUUCCAGGAUGCACACUGAACCAACUGCCCUCAGAUAUCAAAAAGACGAAAAUACAGUCUGUCAGUGCCAGAGGUUUCGCAGCCUUCUUACUGCUUUUGAACUCAAAACAUAGCUUUUAUCCAUGUCUUGAUCGCCUACGUCGUCGGCUUGCAGUUGUGCUGGGGGCUAUAAAGAACUGUCAAGCCGAUGCUUCAUGAUGUCCACACCGCUGACCCUUGUCUGUUCCCACUCGGGCCUCACAUCACUCUUUGAAACUGCCUCCAACACACUGGGUCAACUGGGUGACCUCUCCAUUGUUGUUCUUUACUGCUUCUUUCUCAUAAAAGUUUGAACUAGCCAACUUAAAAUAUUCAGAAACUUCUGAAGUCAAUGGGACUUUAUGCCAAAACCUGUUGUUGGGCAGAAAUGAAGUUCUUGAAAAAAUGACAUUCAAUUCCACUCCUGACACAGACAACACUAACCACCACCAUAGAUUCACGAUGGCUAACAGAGAAGUGCUGCCUCAUCCCAGCUGCAACUCCCUAGUCCAGUACACCUUGUUUGGCUAAAGCUUUCUUAAUUUGAGUGGGACUGAUUCAAUUGCUGGAAAGCAUAAUGGAGGCGGGUCAGGUUUCUUCCCUAGCAAAAUAAAUCUUCUCUAAAUCUUCCUUGGUUAAAUCCACUCUUCAUAAAAUAAAGCAGCUAUUGCAUCCCUCCGUAUGAGUUCGACAAGAUAACCAGCUGUACGUAUUUCAUUCAUCAGCCUCGGAACCACAGCUCACAAAAAGCCUCAUCUAUCGCCCAUGAAACAAAGCGAAGGAAAAUGAAGAAUAUACACAAGCGUAAGCAUAGGGAUUUUUCAGCAUCCCCGUUUCCAUCGGUGCACGAAC
ensembl:lncRNA